UGGGGAAUCUUGCGCAAUGGGCGAAAGCCUGACGCAGCGACGCCGCGUGAGUGAUGAAGGCCUUCGGGUUGUAAAGCUCUGUGGGGAGAGAAGAAUAAGUGCGGGCUAAUACUCCGCAUGAUGACGGUAUCUCCUUAGCAAGCACCGGCUAACUCUGUGCCAGCAGCCGCGGUAAGACAGAGGGUGCAAACGUUGUUCGGAAUUACUGGGCGUAAAGCGAGUGUAGGCGGUUUGGUAAGUCGGAUGUGAAAGCCCCGGGCUCAACCCGGGAAGUGCACUCGAUACUGCCAAGCUAGAGUAUCGGAGAGGUUGGUGGAAUUCUCGGUGUAGAGGUGAAAUGCGUAGAGAUUUGGAGGAAUACCAGUGGCGAAGGCGGCCCCCUGGCACAACACUGACGCUCAGGUGCGAAAGCGUGGGGAGCAAACAGGAUUAGAUACCCCGGUAGUCCCUGAGCGGGCUGGCAAGGCGCAU
rnacentral:rRNA from 1 species